AGUCGAACGAGAAUUGAAUUUUCGGAUGUUGCUGAGUGGCGGACGGGUGAGUAACGCGUGGAUACCUGCCUCACACUGGGGGAUAACAGUUAGAAAUGACUGCUAAUACCGCAUAAGACCGCAUGGUAAAAACUCCGGUGGUGUGAGAUGGAUCCGCGUCUGAUUAGCCAGUUGGCGGGGUAACGGCCCACCAAAGCGACGAUCAGUAGCCGACCUGAGAGGGUGACCGGCCACAUUGGGACUGAGACACGGCCCAAACUCCUACGGGAGGCAGCAGUGGGGAAUAUUGCACAAUGGGGGAAACCCUGAUGCAGCGACGCCGCGUGAGGAAGAAGUAUUUCGGUAUGUAAACUCUAUCAGCAGGGAAGAUAAUGACGGUACCUGACUAAGAAGCCCCGGCUAACUACGUGCCAGCAGCCGCGGUAAUACGUAGGGGGCAAGCGUUAUCCGGAUUUACUGGGUGUAAAGGGAGCGUAGACGGCAUGGCAAGUCUGAAGUGAAAGCCCGGGGCUCAACCCGGGACUGCUUUGGAAACUGUCAAGCUAGAGUGCAGGAGAGGUAAGUGGAAUUCCUAGUGUAGCG
rnacentral:rRNA from 1 species